AAAGACUGACCGACUGACUCUGAUGGGAGCCGGGUCUGAGGGAAGGAGGCGGUGGCCAUGGAGUUGGGCGAGCUGCUUUACAACAAGUCCGAGUACAUCAAGACGGCAUCUGGGAACAAAGUCAGUCGCCAGUCGGUGUUGUGUGGAAGCCAGAACAUCGUUCUCAAUGGCAAAACCAUUGUGAUGAAUGACUUUAUUAUCUGAGGGGAUCUGGCAAACGUUAAGAGUUGGGCGCCAUUGUGUUGUGAAAAGUCGUAGUGUCAUAAGGCCACCAUUCAAGAAAUUCAGCAAAGGUGUUGCAUUCUUUCCUUUACAUAUUGGGAACCGUGUCUUUAUUGAGGAAGAUUGUGUGGUCAAUGCAGCUCAGAUUGGUUCCUACGUUCAUGUUGGCAAGAACUGUGCGAUUGGACACCGAUGUGUGUUGAAAGACUGCUGCAAAAUUCUUGAUAACACAGUAUUACCUCCAGAAACUGUGGUCCCACCAUUCACUGUCUUCUCAGGUUGCCCAGGACUCUUCUCAGGGGAGCUCCCAGAGUGCACUCAGGAGCUGAUGAUUAAUGUCACCAAGAGCUACUACCAGAAGUUUUUGCCCCUGACACAAGUCUAGCAUCUCUGCCUCAUAUCUUGAAUUUGCUUGAGUUCUAAAAUGAAUUUGGGGACAAAGCGAGCCAGUCAACACCUACAAAGAGCUUUUAUGUCUUCAACAUCUACCCCUCCUUCUUUUAAAAAAUUCCUUGAGAAUUUCUCAAUCCUCAAGGCUCUAAGCUCUUAAGAAUUUAUUAAUAGACCAUCUGGAGGAGUUAUCUUCAAAUGCUAUGCUUACACCUUAUCUAUGAACAGUCACUUUGUACCAUUAUCUGUGGAACACAUAAUCAUCUGUUCCCAACACUCCAGCCCCUUGGUCCUGUGGAUGGCUGGAUCCUGCCUGAAACAGACCUGCAGAGCAGCAGCACCCUUUCGGUGUGGAGGUUAUAUAGCUGAUGUGCUGCUCACAGCCAUACGCUGCCCAUGCUGAGCGCCUCUCACACAGGUAAUGUCCAGCUUUUCUUCUGCUAACACAAUUGGCCAGUUGUUGCAAUUGCUCAUAAUCCUGGGAAAAGGUGUUUGUGACUUUUCAGAGCCCAGAUUCCUGUUGGCUAUUAAAACUUGAAGGGAGGGGUGA